GUUUCACAUUUGGAUUAAAUGUCCCAAGACCAGUAAAGAGUAGCUCAGACUUCUGUUGGCAGUAUCGAGACUUUUUAAAACGCUUUUCCUGUUCACGGUUUUUGGACGUUGCUCUAACAUGGAGGCUUUAGGACCCAGCAAGACAUCAAUACGGGGCUUAUCUCUUCUUCUUCCUCCCGUGCACCAUCACCAACGGGAAUCAACCCAUGUUUACAAUCAUGAAUUACGGUCACUCCUGUUUUGUUCUGCACUUAAUUCUACUUUGUUCGUUUGCUAACGGACAGCAUGAAUCCAGGUGGAACGACAGGCCGUUCAUGGUCCUGCAAAACCAGAACUUAGCCCUGCUACUGAGCGUGCUCUCGGUGCUUUUGUUCGUGAUGAUCGUCAUGGCAGUGUUCGUCUACAAACCUUUGCGACACCGGUAAGCCAUGCAGCGACGCGGAUUCAGUGAGCAGUCAUGGAAUCCAGUGCCGGAGGAUUGCAAAACCCUCUUCAGUGAAGACAAUCACCGACACUCCAGAUGCCAUCGCCGUGGAUUUGGACAAGACACAAACAAUAAACUUUCCCCACGCGUUACACGUGACCAAUGUGUACGAAAAGUAUCCGCCUGGCUAUUGUAUAUAUAGCCUACUUUAUUUGAAUACAUCGACGUGUUAUGUUAUUAUUCCUUUAAUUGCGUUUGAUUAAUAUUUUUGACACUGUGUGGCUAGGCCAUAUUCUGAUCCUUUUCUUUAGGCUAAAGGACAAUAAUAUGACAUAGGCUACAAAGCAUGUGUUAAUACUUAAAGCACAGUGUUUAAGUUGUCAGAAGGCCAGAGCAUACCAGUAGGCUCGCCGUAACAAGCCAGAAAGACAGAUUGAAGACAUGGCACGGUAGCAAAGCCAUUUGCUAUGGUAGGCCUGGAUAUGGUGGGAAAUUGGUUCAGUGUAAAGAAACGAUUUUAAAAAAUUCGCUCUGGAUUGGAGCACCUGCUAAAUGACUAAAAUAUAACGCAGUGAAACUGCCAUGAUUGUGUGGUACCUAAAGCGGUUGUACGUCUAAUUUUGUUGUACUUUUUAUUUUCUAUUAUUGAUCUACUGUACUGGAAAAUGUAUUAUUGUAAAUUGGUUAGGGGCCUUAGUUUUUUCUUCUUCUUGUUUUUAACUUGAUCAAAGCUACUGUUUGCCUGACACUGAAACUCCUAAUGCAAUAUUUCACUCAUUCAAUGAUUUGAAUUAUUUAUAUAUUUUUGUAUGCUAUUUAUUUCCCUAUUUUAUUUACUUAAUAUUUGGGGCAACGAUUGAAGUAUUUAUUUUAACAUAAUGGUGUAUAUUAUUUAUUGAUUAUCUUUCUUUGGAUGUGUUACAGUAUCAUCUGUUGAAAAUAAACGACAUGAAAUCACAUCUCACAGUAAA